AUGAAGAACUGUACAGAAGUGACAGAGUUCAUCCUCCUGGGACUAACCAAUGCUCCAGAGCUACAAGUCCCCCUCCUUAUCAUGUUCACUCUCAUAUACCUUGUCAAUGUGGUUGGAAACCUGGGGAUGAUUGUUUUAAUUGUUUGGGACAUUCAUCUCCACACUCCCAUGUAUUUUUUCCUCAGUCACCUGUCUCUAGUGGACUUUUGUUACUCUUCAGCUGUCACUCCCACAGUCAUAGCUGGGCUCGUUAUAGGAGACAAGGUCAUCUCUUACAAUGCAUGUGCUGCUCAAAUGUUCUUUUUUGCAGCCUUUGCCACUGUGGAAAAUUUCCUCUUGGCCUCAAUGGCCUAUGACCGCUAUGAUGCAGUGUGCAAACCCCUACAUUACACCACCACCAUGACAACAAGUGUGUGUGCAUGUCUGGCUAUAAUCUGUUAUGUCUGUGGUUUCUUGAAUGCCUCCAUACACAUUGGGGAAACAUUGUCUCUCUUUCUGUAUGUCCAAUGAAGUCCAUUGCUUUUUCUGUGAUGUUCCACCAGUCAUGGCUCUGUCUUGCUGUGAUAGACAUGUGAAUGAGCUAGUUCUCAUUUAUGUAGCCAGUUUCAAUAUCUUUUCUGCCAUCCUAGUUAUCUUGAUCUCCUACCUAUUCAUAUUUAUCACCAUCCUAAAGAUGCACUCAGCUUCAGGAUACCAGAAGGCUUUGUCCACCUGUGCCUCCCACCUCACUGCAGUCAUCAUCUUCUAUGGGACUAUUAUCUUCAUGUACUUACAGCCCAGCUCUGGUCACUCCAUGGACACAGACAAACUGGCAUCUGUGUUCUAUACUAUGAUCAUCCCCAUGCUGAACCCCCUGGUCUAUAGCCUGAGGAACAACGAAGUGAAGAGCGCAUUCAAGAAAGUUAUUGAGAAGGCAAAAUUGUCUCUA
rnacentral:lncRNA from 1 species